ACUAAACAGAGGAGAACUUUGAGAAAUGAACCCAGUUGCAUUUAGAAUCAAUCCAUAAAAUCAACAGACCUUAGGACCCUGUAAUCCCUUGCUUUGAGGUGGAGUUGGGGUGGCUGAAUGAGCGUUUACUGGCUGGAUGCCCUUCCUGACACCUAUGCAGAGUUCACAAUGGACUUCUCAGUCAACUUGCACUUCUAUAUCUGACCACUUCAGAUGGGCAAUGGAGAGGCUGUGAGUGCACCACCUCAAUCAGAAUGGUUGGCGUUG